UACAGAGGUGACUAACGUUGUCCGGAAUUAUUGGGCGUAAAGGGCGCGUAGGUGGUCGAGUAAGUCAGGUGUGAAAGCUCUGGGCUUAACCCAGGAAUUGCGUCUGAUACUGCUCGGCUUGAGUACGGUAGAGGAGGGUGGAAUUCCCAGUGUAGCGGUGAAAUGCGUAGAUAUCGAGAGGAACACCUGCGGCGAAGGCGGGUAGCUGGGCCGACACUGACGCUGAGGCGCGAAAGCCAGGGGAGCGAACGGG
rnacentral:rRNA from 1 species